AGCGGCGGACGGGUGAGUAAUGUCUGGGGAUCUGCCUGAUGGAGGGGGAUAACUACUGGAAACGGUAGCUAAUACCGCAUAACGUCGCAAGACCAAAGAGGGGGACCUUCGGGCCUCUUGCCAUCAGAUGAACCCAGAUGGGAUUAGCUAGUAGGUGGGGUAAUGGCUCACCUAGGCGACGAUCCCUAGCUGGUCUGAGAGGAUGACCAGCCACACUGGAACUGAGACACGGUCCAGACUCCUACGGGAGGCAGCAGUGGGGAAUAUUGCACAAUGGGCGCAAGCCUGAUGCAGCCAUGCCGCGUGUAUGAAGAAGGCCUUCGGGUUGUAAAGUACUUUCAGCGAGGAGGAAGGCAUUAAGGUUAAUAACCUUAGUGAUUGACGUUACUCGCAGAAGAAGCACCGGCUAAACUCCGUGCCAGCAGCCGCGGUAAUACGGAGGGUUGCAAGCCGUUAAUCGGAAUUACUGGGCGUUAAACGCACGC
rnacentral:rRNA from 1 species